CUGGCUCCAGAAACCACGCUCUUAACCACGGUACUAGAUUGAGGAGGAAAAGAAAGGAGACGCACAUUCUAACAAGGAAAACGUGAGUCCAUAAGAAGACUUCAUCAGGGACCGGCACUGCUGGAGCAGCCUCGACCCUGCUAGUAGGAAGUUAAAGGACAGCCACGCACAGCUGCUCUGCCAAUGAGCGAGAAGGAGCAUUGCCUCUUCCCAUCACCUUCUCAAGUCCAUUCUCACCUGAGCCCAGAAGUUAGAGGAGCCCAACAGCAUAAAAAGACA